UCCUUUCUUCCUAUUCCUUUUUUUUUUUUUUUUUUCUCUCUUUCUCUCUCU
rnacentral:ribozyme from 12 species